CUGAGAUUUUAGCAUUUCCAUCCCCAAUACACUUGAAGACCUUUGUACCACUGCAGAUCUCUGCAUUCCUAGAAUCACACAAUGGCUUGUGUUGAAACAGACACUAAAGACAACCUCUUUACAACUGCUUGCUCUGGGGAGGGUUUCCAUCCACCUGAUCAGACCCCAUCCAACCUGACCUUGAGCAUGUCUGAGGAUGUGGCAGCCACAACCUCUCUGGGCAGCCUGUGACAGUGCCACACCAUGAGGGAAACCAUCUCCUCCUAACAUCUAGCCUAAGUCUUCCCUAUUUCGGUUUAAAAGUAUUACUUUUCGGAAAGAGUAGUCAGGCAUUGGAAUGCACUGCCCAGGGAGGUGGUGGAGUCACCGACCACAGGAGUGUUCAAGAAACGCUUGGAUGUGGUGCUGAGGAAUAUGAUUUAGCCAGGAAGUAUUGGUAAUGGUUGGACUAGAUGAUCUUCUAGGUCUUUUCCAACCUUGAUAAUUCUGUGAUUCUGUGACUCUGUGAAAAGCAUCCUGCCUUGUUCUAUCACUAUAAGACGGUGUAAAAAGUCGAUCUCCCUCCUGUUUAUAAGCUCCCUUUAACAGCAACGCCAUAAGAACGCACAGACAUUUCGGUUGUAACCCGACUUGGUCACCCCGUUGGUGCCAGCAGCGGCCCGCAGAGCUCUGCUCUCCCUUACAAGCAGGAACGGCGGCGGGCUGCCAACCGCAGGACACGGCGCCGCAGGGACCGCGUGGGCUGCAGCGGCCGGCAGUGCGAUAUUUAUGUUAUCUUCAUUACUGAAGUGGAAAGGUUGGAUAUACAGUUACAGAAGUGGAAGAGCAGAAAUGAAGACCUGAUUUCUGCAAGUGUUGAACAAUUGCUUUUUCUGCUGAUUAACAGCAUCACGACAUAGAAGAGCUCCUAAAGUUUAGUUACCAAAAUCCCUAAGAGACUUGCUUUCUUGGUUGCAACCCAAUUUGAGAUGGUACAGUCUGUCCUUUCCUUCCUUCCCAAUUUACAGAUAUUAUAUGUUUUUCAUAUUUCUUCUUCUCUGUUAGAGGACAAGAUACAUACUUGAACUAAUUAGUGUUUACUUCAUCAGAAUUACCACAAAAGUAGAACAGUUGAAUUAUCUGUGUACUUUCGCAAACGUAUUUCACAUUUCAGCUAUGCUUAGGAGCUGCAUUAAAAUAUUAUCUUCAAAAUAGAGGAGUGUUCACUCCAGCUGGAAUUCCUUUCCAGUCAUCCUUUUUUCUCAGUCUAAAAGAAGAGAGGUACCUAGAAUGCUUUCUUGGGAAUGCAGCUUUUCACUCUUUCCAGCUUGAGAUGAUCCAUACCUGAUAGUCUUCUAAGCCCAGAUUUACCUGUUUUGAAUAGGCAACCCAGGGAAGAGCAGCUGAACCUGAAAGGCUUCUUUGAAAUCUUAAAAGCUGUA
rnacentral:lncRNA from 1 species